CAAUAGCGUAUAUUAAAGUUGUUGCAGUUAAAAAGCUCGUAGUUGGAUUUCUGGUGGGAGCGAUCGGUCUGGCGCUUAGCGCGAGUACUUGCAUCGUCUCCGGCCAUCCUUGGGGAGAGUCUGUCUGGCAUUAGGUUGUCGGGCAGAGGAUCCUCAUCGUUUACUGUGAAAAAAUUAGAGUGUUCAAAGCAGGCUUAUGCCGUUGAAUAUAUUAGCAUGGAAUAAUAAGAUAGGACUUUGGUACUAUUUUGUUGGUUUGCGCACCAAAGUAAUGAUUAAUAGGGACAGUUGGGGGUAUUCGUAUUCCGUUGUCAGAGGUGAAAUUCUUGGAUUUACGGAAGACGAACCACUGCGAAAGCAUUUACCAAGGAUGUUUNCAUUAA
rnacentral:rRNA from 1 species